UACGUAGGUGGCAAGCGUUGUCCGGAUUUAUUGGGUUUAAAGGGUGCGUAGGCGGCCUUGUAAGUCAGUGGUGAAAUACUCUAGCUUAACUAGAGGGGUGCCAAUGAUACUGCAGGGCUUGAGUACAGAUGAGGUAGGCGGAAUUGACGGUGUAGCGGUGAAAUGCAUAGAUAUCGUCAAGAACACCUAUAGAAGGCAGCUUACUGGGCUGUAACUGACGCUGAGGCACGAAAGUGUGGGGAUCAAACAGG
rnacentral:rRNA from 1 species